UAGCAUGAUCUCAGCUCACUGCAACCCCCGCCUCCCGGGUUCAAGCAAUUCAGGAAGAGCUACAUUUAUAAGUGUCGUCGUGGUUGACCAGCUGUUGUUUUUCUCUGUUUGGCUGCUGCUUCCGCUUUUGCUUUAGUCAGAACUCUGUCCCAGGAAGACUUGCUCCUCCCUGUUCUCAUGCUAUGUAGCUAAAGUGGUGGUGACCCCAUCUGUGGGCUGUAGGACAUGUGAUAAUGACCUCUAGUUGCAGCUUGAAGUUGCUGCAAAAGACAUGAUUUUAUUCUUUGCCAUGGCUGAGCAGCAUUCCAUGAUGGGACGUGCAUUUUGGGAUGGAGCUUGAAGAUACCUAAAAAAGAUCUGGCUUGAAGGGGGAGGAUGUGUUUCACGAGGAGAGAAAAGCACAAGCAAACCCUUGGAGGCAUGAAAGAAAAGGGAACACACUGGAGAAUGUGGAGGAGAUGAGUCUGGGGGCAGACUCGUCUGCAGCGGUCAGACCAGGGGUCACCAUUCAUCUACUCCUCUACAAGGGAGACUGGAGGGGUCAGACCAGGAGGACCUGGAAUGCCAGGAUCAUGAAAGAUAGUGUGGCUUCCACUUUGGUCUCUUAUAUCACCUACUGGGGAAAGCCAGCUGCCAUGUUGUGAGGACACUCAAGAAGCUCUGUGGAGAGGCUCAUUUGAAGGAGAACCAGUGCCUCCCACCAACAGCCAGCAUCAACUUGGGACAUGUGAGUGAACUACUUGGAAGUGGAUCCUCCAGCCAAGUCAAGCCUUCAGAUGACUGAAGCCUCGGCCUCAUGAGAGACAGCAGGUCAAAACCGCCCAGCUAAGCUGCUCCUGAAAUCCUGACCCCUGAAAUUAUGAAAGAUAGUAAAUUAUUAAUGUUGUUUUAAGCCACUACAUGUCGGGGAGAUUCAUUAUGCAGCAAUAGAUAAUGAAUACAUCACCCUUGUAUUCAUUACUGAUGUUUAUUGGGAGCAUAGUGUGUGAUUUUUCAUUUAACCCUUCCAGUAAUGCUGUGAGAUAGAUACUUUUAUUAUCCCCAUUUUACAGACAAAGAAACUGAGGUUCAGAAUGAGUGAAGUGCAGAGUUCCUGACCUUAAGGAUUUUAUGGUCAGAUCUGAGAGACAGAAGCUCAAAAACCUAUGACUCUAGGCAAAAUAUGGCUCUAGGAUCCCAGGAAAGGGAGAGGAAUUUUGGAUUCUGGCUUCUGCUUGGGCCUCAUAGCUUGGGGUGACAGAGGGUACACUCCAAAGGCAGCAAACACCUUCCCUGCCCUUGAGUACUUGCUUAAUCAAGGGGAGAAAGUUCAGAUGCUUAUGCAUAAUGGGUGGUAUUUCUCUGCACAGAAACACACAUAGGCCUGUACAGUAAUGAUGAAAAGCAGCAACCCAUCUUAAGGGCUCGGCACUUUGUACUUACAAAGCCUUACACAUCCCUAAUUCCAUGAAAUCCCACCUGGCAGGUAAGCAUGGCCCUGUACGCUUGACAGAUGGGGACACUGAGGCCAGGGAAGUUGUGUGAUUCUUGCAGAGCCAAGCAGCCUAGAAGUGGCAGAGCUCAGGUAAAACCCAGCAACUGGGUGUUUUUACAAGUGCUAAGGGUACAACAGGUGGUAGGCAGAGCUCCUCUGAGGGAGGUUCCAGGAAGAGGUUACCCGGGAGCAGAGUUCUGAGAAUGGGGAAGUGGCUUGGUGGGGAGGAUCGUGCCUGGGAGGGGCUGAGAGGAAACAGAGUGAGUCCCUAGGAGGCUCCCGGGGUGUACGAGGGCAAAGAGGAGAACAUAGCUGGAGUGGAAAGAAUGAACAAGCCUGGGCAUGUGGAAGAGGCUUGGUGUGUUAGGUGGAAUUGCAGCUGGAGGGUGUGUGCAGAAUGAGAGGUCUUGGUAUUAGGGCCAAAGUCAACUGCCAUGCCUAAGGUGGGAAGAAGGCGCUUGUUUUGCUUCUUGGGUGCAAAUCAUUCCUGUGAUUUAGUUCUCCCUGGGGGAGAGGCGGGGUUUCAUCCAGCCUCAGCAAAUGCAUUCAAUCUUCACUACUUCUCUCUGUCAGAUGGGGCGGAUAGAGGUCCAGAUGUGGGCAGAAGCUUUUAUGUCCCAUCACAGGGCAACUAAGAACAGCUGUGCAGGUCGUUCACUGCACAUGAGCACUAGGCCAAAAGGGACUGAAAUCCUUUGUUUGCCCUUUGUUUACUAAGCCAUGUGCCUGCAAAGCCACACCUGCCCAGAGGGAGUGGUUCCUUUUUCUUUUCUUUUAAAAGAAUUGUUUUUUUUUUAUGAGCUAAAAUUCACAAAAUAUAGAAUCUACCAUUUAAACCACUUUAAAGUAUGAAAUUCAGUGGUUUUAGUAUAUUCACAAUGUUGUGCAACCGUCACCACUAUCAGUUUUUGGAACAUUCCCAUCAUUCCAAAACACAACUCCAUAACUCCUAAUUCCCCCCCUUUCCCAUCUCUUGGCAACCAUGAAUCUGAACUUUCAUAUGAAUGGAGUUCUAUAAUUUGCUGUCUUUUGUGACUGUC